UUUCGCUGAAUCCUUCGUAUCCUGUUAAAGUUCUUGAGUUAGUGAUUCAAACCAAAAAGAAACAAGACACUAAGACAGUGUUGAUAGUUAUUCAAAACUUCCUUAACCUUCAGGCAGGGAAUUACUAGGCAAAAGAGGCAUUUUUCAAUGAUAAAAGAGUUGUUAAUUUGUUAUUUAAUUAACAUUGUUCAACAGUCUAAAUGGAAAAAUGAUCCCCUCAGAAAUAAAAAUUAGCAUAUUUGCAACAUAACUAAUCAGUCCACAUUGUGUGCCAAGUGUGCACUAUGACCAACACAACCUAUUCUCAAAUUUGGCAAUACAAGUCACUAAAAGUGUUUCUCAGCAAGAGCCUUCCUCUGAGAGAUAACCCCACAAAAAUAGCUAGUUGAUUACUAUGCAUUGUAUCAAU
rnacentral:misc_RNA from 1 species